rnacentral:rRNA from 1 species
UUGAACGCUGGCGGCAGGCCUAACACAUGCAAGUCGAGCGGAUGAAGGGAGCUUGCUCCUGGAUUCAGCGGCGGACGGGUGAGUAAUGCCUAGGAAUCUGCCUGGUAGUGGGGGAUAGCGUCCGGAAACGGGCGCUAAUACCGCAUACGUCCUGAGGGAGAAAGUGGGGGAUCUUCGGACCUCACGCUAUCAGAUGAGCCUAGGUCGGAUUAGCUAGUUGGUGGGGUAAAGGCCUACCAAGGCGACGAUCCGUAACUGGUCUGAGAGGAUGAUCAGUCACACUGGAACUGAGACACGGUCCAGACUCCUACGGGAGGCAGCAGCGGGGAAUAUUGGACAAUGGGCGAAAGCCUGAUCCAGCCAUGCCGCGUGUGUGAAGAAGGUCUUCGGAUUGUAAAGCACUUUAAGUUGGGAGGAAGGGCAGUAAGUUAAUACCUUGCUGUUUUGACGUUACCAACAGAAUAAGCACCGGCUAACUUCGUG